UAGGGAAUNUUCCACAAUGGGCGCAAGCCUGAUGGAGCAACACCGCGUGAGUGAAGAAGGGUUUCGGCUCGUAAAGCUCUGUUGUUAAAGAAGAACACGUAUGAGAGUAACUGUUCAUACGUUGACGGUAUUUAACCAGAAAGUCACGGCUAACUACGUGCCAGCAGCCGCGGUAAUACGUAGGUGGCAAGCGUUAUCCGGAUUUAUUGGGCGUAAAGAGAGUGCAGGCGGUUUUCUAAGUCUGAUGUGAAAGCCUUCGGCUUAACCGGAGAAGUGCAUCGGAAACUGGAUAACUUGAGUGCAGAAGAGGGUAGUGGAACUCCAUGUGUAGCGGUGGAAUGCGUAGAUAUAUGGAAGAACACCAGUGGCGAAGGCGGCUACCUGGUCUGCAACUGACGCUGAGACUCGAAAGCAUGGGUAGCGAACAGGAUUAGAUACCCUGGUAGUCCAUGCCGUAAACGAUGAGUGCUAGGUGUUGGAGGGUUUCCGCCCUUCAGUGCCGGAGCUAACGCAUUAAGCACUCCGCCUGGGGAGUACGACCGCAAGGUUG
rnacentral:rRNA from 1 species